UAGCAUAUCAAUAAGCGGAGGAAAAGAAACCAACAGGGAUUGCCCUAGUAACGGCGAGUGAAGCGGCAACAGCUCAAAUUUGAAAUCUGGCUCUUUCAGAGUCCGAGUUGUAAUUUGCAGAGGGCGCUUUGGCUUUGGCAGCGGUCCAAGUUCCUUGGAACAGGACGUCACAGAGGGUGAGAAUCCCGUACGUGGUCGCUAGCUAUUGCCGUGUAAAGCCCCUUCGACGAGUCGAGUUGUUUGGGAAUGCAGCUCUAAAUGGGAGGUAAAUUUCUUCUAAAGCUAAAUAUUGGCCAGAGACCGAUAGCGCACAAGUAGAGUGAUCGAAAGAUGAAAAGCACUUUGGAAAGAGAGUCAAACAGCACGUGAAAUUGUUGAAAGGGAAGCGCUUGCAGCCAGACUUGCUUGCAGUUGCUCAUCCGGGCUUUUGCCCGGUGCACUCUUCUGCAGGCAGGCCAGCAUCAGUUUGGGCGGUGGGAUAAAGGUCUCUGUCAUGUACCUCUCUUCGGGGAGGCCUUAUAGGGGAGGCGACAUACCACCAGCCUAGACUGAGGUCCGCGCAUCUGCUAGGAUGCUGGCGUAAUGGCUGUAAGCGGCCCGUCUUGAAACACGGACCAAGGAGUCUAACAUCUAUGCGAGUGUUUGGGUGUCAAGCCCGAGCGCGUAAUGAAAGUGAACGGAGGUGGGAACCCGCAAGGGUGCACCAUCGACCGAUCCUGAAGUUUACGGAAGGAUUUGAGUAAGAGCAUGGCUGUUGGGACCCGAAAGAUGGUGAACUAUGCUUGAAUAGGGUGAAGCCAGAGGAAACUCUGGUGGAGGCUCGCAGCGGUUCUGACGUGCAAAUCGAUCGUCAAAUUUGGGCAUAGGGGCGAAAGACUAAUCGAACUAUCUAGUAGCUGGUUCCUGCCGAU
rnacentral:rRNA from 1 species